GAACCGUGCAAACGUUGUUCGGAUUCACUGGGCUUAAAGGGCGCGUAGGCGGGCGACCAAGUCAGGGGUGAAAUCUUUCAGCUUAACUGGAAAACAGCCUCUGAUACUGGCCGUCUGGAGGGAGGUAGGGGCCUGUGGAACUGCUGGUGGAGCGGUGAAAUGCGUAGAUAUCAGCAGGAACGCCGGUGGCGAAAGCGACGGGCUGGACCUCAUCUGACGCUGAGGCGCGAAAGCUAGGGGAGCAAACGGGAUUAGAUACCCCGGUAGUCCUAGCCCUAAACGAUGGGUACUAGAUUGUAGACUUAACAUGGGUUUACAGUCGAAGCAAAAGUGUUAAGUACCCCGCCUGGGGAGUAUGGUCGCAAGGCUGAA
rnacentral:rRNA from 1 species